rnacentral:hammerhead_ribozyme from 1 species
AUCCAGCUGACGAGUCCCGAAUGGGACUAAACUCGUGUCGUGGAU